rnacentral:ribozyme from 1 species
ACUUUUUUUUUUUUUUUUUUUUUUUUUUUUUUUUUUUUUUUUUUUUUUGCCCGGGUUUGUGCAA